rnacentral:rRNA from 1 species
GACGAACCGUGCGAACGUUAUUCGGAAUCACUGGGCUUAAAGCGCGUGUAGGCGGGACGGCACGUCGGUCGCUGAAAGCCCCCGGCUCAACCGGGGAACGGGCGCCGAUGCGACCGCCCUGGAGGAACGUAGGGGGACCUGGAACUUCCGGUGGAGCGGUGAAAUGCGUUGAGAUCGGAAGGAACGCCCGUGGCGAAAGCGAGGUCCUGGACGUUUUCUGACGCUGAGACGCGAAAGCCAGGGGAGCGAACGGG